GGUCGCGUAGCUCAAUUGGAUAGAGCAGCAGCCUUCUAAGCUGCCGGUUGUGGGUUCGACUCCCGCCGCGAUCACAA
rnacentral:tRNA from 1 species